GCCGACCUGGACGGAAGGCUGUCGAUCCAUCCUCGACUGCGAGGCGACGGCUCGACUUCCUCCGAUCUGGUGGUAGGACGAAAUCCCUUUCUCUCUUGCUUCUAUGCUUGAUUUGGUUCUGUUUUUGUGCUGAUCUGAUUUACUUUCAUGGGCGUUUUGAGUUACUUGCAUGUACGCAAUCUUUCCCACUCUUUAGAUAACUCAUGAUCCAACCCUUGUACUCACGGUUCAGUAUAAGAUAGUACAGGAAAUAUUCUAUAUUUUACGGUCACAGUGUACAUGGUGAAAAGUAUUCUAUAUGUUUUUUUCUACUGAUACAACAAUGAUGUAUAUGAUUAUUAUAUGGUGUCCAAAUGAGGCAUGUGAUUGUAAUAUGAUGUGUUUGUGAAAUGCGAGCAGUAGCCAGUACAUAUUUUCCUCUUGUGAUUUUGAUAGCUCGGUGAUGGCGGGCAAAGCCACCAAGCAUCGACACACAUCCUAACCAAUUCGGUUUGGUGUCAUCUUGGAUCUGACUAAUUUUCUUCUUUUUUCGCAUGAAGUUCUAAUGGAUUAAUAUUCUUGUAGGUUGAUUUGAAUCCCCAGGUAUGUGGUUAUGCAUGAGCUGUGGAAGCAAAGGUGUGUGUCGGCUGGAGCUGAUUUAUGGGGCUGUAAUUUGGAUGGUACAAAACUGUAUUAAUACAGGCUCCCACUCAAAAUUUCACUGCACCAAAGGUUCUCGUAAGUGCUUGACUUUGUUUCUUCAUACUAUGCGGUAUAAUACCUAUGGGACAUGAAAUUAGUAAUUACCCUUAAAUAUUGUCUGUACUGGAUAGCCAAAAUUAGGUUUAUUUGUUUCUCUCUCCUGAGCACAUUUUUAUAACAUUGCUACUCAAAUAUAACUUGUGUUUCCCUGUCCUGCAUUUUUGCAUCGUCCUCCAUACAAAAACAUGAUGGGAUUUGGUCCAGGUGAGAACAUACAGGACCGUAACGAUCAGCCUGUUUUAAUUUACUGAAACUGGGUAGACGCUAGACAGGGACGUGAUUAUCCUUGGUAUAGCUCCAAAGAAUUUUAAUGUGCCAAUUAAAUGUGAUGCUUGGUGGUAGAUUGGAAGCUUGCUACAUGUUUUUCUCAAUGGGCAUACCUGUUGUUAUCUUGCCAAAGCCCAAGUUUAUACAAUUAUGCUUCUGUAACUACAAUGUCAGUACAUUAUGCUAGGUAUGUGCCUCUUUAGUUGUCUCUUUCUGGUUUGGUCUGUGUUUUCUGUUUAGUUAUGGGGUGCCUAAUUCUUUAGUAAUACUGCACUGUUCUGCAAAAUUAUGGUCUAACUUUACUGGGCAGAAUUAUGGCCUAACUUUACUGCACUCUUGCAAUUUUUCUCCUGCAUGAUCUACCAAAUGGUGUUAAAAUUUAUUGGGCAGAAUUAUAGACUGAUUUAUGAAGGACACAAAACACCAUACAUGAUUUAGCUGCAGCUCAUGAAGUGCUGAUCACGUUGCUUCACGAAAGGUUCACAUUAUAAUUUGCAAUCUGAAUCGGUUUUCACAAACAUAAAAUGUUAAUACCCUUUUCUAUGAGCUUUUUACCAUGUGAAGCUUGUCUGUUUAAUAUGUCCCAUAAUCCUGAGAAGAAUCAUGACCAUUGAUGAAAUCCUGCUCUCUCUUUUUUUUGGAAAAAAUGCUAGGAAAAAAAGGUUCAUAGUGAUUUUUCCUUUCGUGAGAGAGCUGACAUAGUUUAAAAAGAGUGCACUUCCGGCCAUGCUGAAUUGUAGGAUAAAAUGACCAUGGAGUUAGUCAUGGUCAAGUUGAAUGAAGCAUGUGUAUCCAAACUGAUACAUGUACUGCAUUAUGUCUUUUGUACGGAGAUAUGGACAUGCUUUGUGCUUGUAUUUGUAGUUUAGUGAGUUUACUCCUUCUCGGACAAACUUAAAAUUCCAAAUGUUUACUGGGAAUGUGUUUUGAUCCUAGAGUGGAGAUGCAGAAAGCAAGUGUGAAAAAGGCACCAAAGUUUGUCAGCACUAGCUCUAUGCAUGCCUUUGUGAAACUGAAUGGCAUUUUGCCACACCUUGUCACACCUUUCUGAGUAGCUGAGAACGAAUAAAAAAAGUUUAAUUAUUUUCAUCGUGCUAUUCGUUGAUUCUGGUGUGCCCUUGAUACUCCUAUGCAUGGCGCAUUUGAUCUAUUAAGUGAACUUUUUCUUCCAAUCCAGCACCAUUAUGUUGUAAUGAUCAAGCUUUUCGUCGACUGCAAAAGUUCCAACAAAAUAUUAUGUUGUUUAUUUCUCUCCUAAAUCACUAUUUGUUAUAAAAAUAGUGAAAGAAAUAAACAACAUAAUCUUCAGUAUGUUUAAAGUAGGAUAUCUGGUAUUGUGGUUUUAAAAUUUGUUGGAUAUAAACUGGCAACAAUAUCAUGUGAACUUGGAUUUAUAGAUGUCUUAGUAUUAAUUUGAUGUCAACUAACAGUAGCACAUCUCUAACAAUGAUACUCGAAGAAUUGUUGUGUGUUUGUAGGAAACACUAUAUAAUGAGCAUAUAACUUUCUAGAUGAUUCGCUGACACAUUGUUGAUUUUAAGGCGCGGAAAUUACUGGCAUUUGUUAUGAGCGAUCUUAAAUAUGUUUGCUUCUCUCUCGGGUAGAAAACUUUGUUCCUUGCAACGUGUUGAUGUCUACCUCUAUGCCAUUCCAAAGUGAGGAUUUGUAUAUGUCUAUAACGACAUCCAUACAUCUUUAGCUAUAGUAUCACUGAGGUGUCUAUCAGCAGAUGAUUAUGAGAAUCACUAGAAGGUUAACCGGGUUUGAAGAAGAUAGUGACACAUAAUGGGGGAGUACAAAAAAGGAGGAAGAAUACAUUUUUGUCUCUUGCAAAGUGGUCACAGAAAAGGAGUUCCACUACAGUAAGUGAUUUCAGGGGUACGAUAUGGUCGUAGUUGGUAGAGUAGGAAGCAUGAGCGAAUAACAUCAUUUUUCAAGUCGCAGUUCGCUGAAACAGCCAUGUAAUCAAUAGCGCUCUAUCCUUUUGCUAUUCUGUAGCCACCAGAGAUGAAGAAGAUGUUUGCUUGGUCUGUUUCGGCUGGGUGCUGGAGGCUAUUGGGACUGAGAUGAAACUAGCGAUCCCUGUUGCAGCUUGUAAUUUUUAGUAUCGUUGUUAAAUUUUGCCUUAUGCCUUGAUUGGUUUGGAGCUGGAGGUGAAUUUGAUCAUUGCCCCAAUAUCACUAAAUAUUUGUUGGCAGAGUUGACAUUCAUGUUAACGUGUUUCAUUUAAUGUCUCUUGUUUGUUGUCAGGUCAUAAUGGAGAAUCAUUUGUUGUAGCGAAGAGAGUGAAAAUAGAGUCGAGGAGCAGACGUGAAGGGUGAAAUUGAGGAAAUGAAUUAUUCUGUAGUGGUCGCUUUGGCUACUGUCAGAUUUGUUCGUCAAGAAGAUAUCCAAAAAACCCAGCCCAAUUUUACACCCUUUGAAAUUAAGCCUUCUCUGCCUGGGUUUCAUAGUUGUGCACUAUAAUUGCAUGGUGUUUCGGUCAGAAUUUGAUGCGAGCGAUAUAUGCGUCCAAGAUGUGGCAAGAAGCAUAUAGUAGUGCAAGAAUAUGUGUAGCCAUUAGGAACAACAGCUAUGAGUCCAUGACUAGCACCAACAAUGCUAGAGUAAGGGUGGAUGAAGAGAAUGGUGGUGGGCCAAGAGGGAAGGGAGAAAUAUAUCACUUUCAUUGCAUGCAAGAAAAUGGUGCCUAAUGAAACACAAAGGCUUACUUGGAGCAAAGCAGCGAAUGAACAUGAAUGAAAAUCAUGUACUGCCAUCUUCUGCACACAUUUUUGAAUUAAAACAAAUAUAUAUAAUCAUAAUGUCUACAUUUUAUUUCGUAUCCGUGGCAACGCACGGGCAUUCGACU
rnacentral:lncRNA from 1 species